ACGGCUGCGCUUACGCCAUUCGCAGCAUUACAUCACGGACGAUAGAGGUCUAUUUGGUUCGCGCCUAUAUCAACUGCUGCAACGCUGAUUACUUAUGAUUUAUCACGGUUAGCAGUAUUUUCUUCGUUCGAAAUAACUAGUCAAAUGUGUAGUUAAUCACGAAAUGUGUUGGAGUGUGUUGGGUAGGGGCGUCUCGCGCGCACUGCUCCGAGGGUCCGCGGAUGAUUCACGCCAAUUGCUCCCAUUUCAUUAAACAGAGCGUAGGCAUGCUGUCAGAUGUGUCUCGGGAAAAAUGUUCAAUGAGAUAAUGAGACGCCCGUCAUUAUUUAAAAUUAACCGUGCUUUACAUCGGAAAACUUCAUCAUGUUCAGCGCGUUGUCGUCACGCGUGUUCUACGUAUAAAUUCUGUGAUAUAAUCUACAUUUAAUACUACUUUAAUUAAAGUUAUACAAUAGUUAUUUAUGUAUUGUUUCGAUAAAGUUAAGUUCGCGAUGGUUUAUUUGACAUACUUGCCGAACCUACCAAAAGGACUCGGAUUAGAACGUAACUGUGACAUAUUGUGACAUUGACCGCGUCCACAAAAGCAGAGCAGAGUGGAGAAGGUUUUAGGGAUGCUACUCAGUGUAGGGAAAAGAAUGCUUUGCGCCGCUUUGGUGGAGUCUGGGCCUAAAAGUAAGAAUGUUUUGAGGUUGUAUGUAGUUUUGGAGGACUUGGUGUUAAAAAGUCCUAAUCCUGUACAGUAAAUCAAAUUAAACUGAGUUUCUAUUGCAACCACAUUCACAGUGUCUUCUUUUAUAAUUUCCGAGAAGGCUAUCCAAUGUAUAAAGUUACGGUUUAAAUAAAUAUAUCAUUAAAAUGUAAGUAAA